UACGAGGGGGGCUACUGUUGUUCGGAAUUACUGGGCGUAAAGGGAGCGUAGGCGGGUUUCUAAGUCAGGUGUUUAAUCCCGGGGCCCAACCCCGGACAGGCACUUGAAACUGGGAAUCUUGAAUAGUGGAGAGGUCAGUGGAAUUGGAGGUGUAGCGGUGGAAUGCGUAGAGAUCUCCAAGAACACCAGUUGCGAAGGCGGCUGACUGGACACAUAUUGACGCUGAGGCUCGAAAGCAUGGGGAGCAAACAGG
rnacentral:rRNA from 1 species